rnacentral:lncRNA from 1 species
AAACCAUCUCGGUCAUUUCCAUCUUCACAGAGAAAAAUACACAGAAGAAAAAAAAUGAGCAUCACAGCUCAAGGGAUCCAUGUGAAGGUGUGACAGAAGCUGAGUGGCUCAUGGACAUCGAGUGAAUGAGCUGAAUGGACUCAACUCAUUUCCUCAUGCCUCAUGCCCAUUUAUACCAUAAGUCUUAAGAAAAGCCUCUCACCAGCAGCUCAACUGUCAUCUACUUCAGAGGACUCAUUCUGCUCUAAAAGAGAUUUGCCCAUUAUCUAUAUCAUCUCUAUCUCUAUCUCUAUCUCUAUCUCUAUCUCUAUAUCAUCUAUCUAUCUAUCUAUCUAUCUAUCUAUCUAUCUAUCUAUCUAUCUAUCUAUAUCUUCCAGCUAUGCUCCUACAACAAGACUUCAUUCUCAUCUCUCCCUUGUGUGGCUCAUGACUUCAUUCUCUGAAAUCACAAGACAACAACACUGUCACCAACUCUGUAAGUUUCAUGUGACCAUGGAUAUACUGUACUCUAGCUCCCAAGAUAAAGC